rnacentral:rRNA from 1 species
ACUCCUACGGGAGGCAGCAGUGGGGAAUAUUGGACAAUGGGCGCAAGCCUGAUCCAGCCAUGCCGCGUGAGUGAUGAAGGCCCUAGGGUUGUAAAGCUCUUUCACCGGUGAAGAUAAUGACGGUAACCGGAGAAGAAGCCCCGGCUAACUUCGUGCCAGCAGCCGCGGUAAUACGAAGGGGGCUAGCGUUGUUCGGAUUUACUGGGCGUAAAGCGCACGUAGGCGGACUAUUAAGUCAGGGGUGAAAUCCCGGGGCUCAACCCCGGAACUGCCUUUGAUACUGGUAGUCUUGAGGUCGAGAGAGGUGAGUGGAAUUCCGAGUGUAGAGGUGAAAUUCGUAGAUAUUCGGAGGAACACCAGUGGCGAAGGCGGCUCACUGGCUCGAUACUGACGCUGAGGUGCGAAAGCGUGGGGAGCAAACAGGAUUAGAAACCCUAGUAGUCCCAUGAU